UGGGGAAUAUUGCACAAUGGGCGCAAGCCUGAUGCAGCCAUGCCGCGUGUAUGAAGAAGGCCUUCGGGUUGUAAAGUACUUUCAGUCGGGAGGAAGGUGGUAAGGUUAAUAACCUUAUCAAUUGACGUUACCGACAGAAGAAGCACCGGCUAACUCCGUGCCAGCAGCCGCGGUAAUACGGAGGGUGCAAGCGUUAAUCGGAAUUACUGGGCGUAAAGCGCACGCAGGCGGUUGAUUGAGUCAGAUGUGAAAUCCCCGGGCUUAACCCGGGAAUUGCAUCUGAUACUGGCAGGCUUGAGUCUCGUAGAGGGAGGUAGAAUUCCAAGUGUAGCGGUGAAAUGCGUAGAGAUCUGGAGGAAUACCGGUGGCGAAGGCGGCCCCCUGGGCGAAGACUGACGCUCAGGUGCGAAAGCGUGGGGAGCAAACAGG
rnacentral:rRNA from 1 species